GUUUCCCAACAAAAUGGCGACACGUGUCGCCAUCGAGAAAUUGGGCAGGGUCUGAAAGCUCUAGAACGUGCCUUUCAUCAGUCUCAGAAUUUCCCAUAGGAUGAAACAGCUAGAGAGCAAGACAAUCCCAGAGAGAUGAAGUGACUGACCCAAGGUUACACAGAGUGGAAUCUGUAUCUUCUGAUUUCUCUACUGGCCUGCACUCCAUGUUCUGAGGAGGAAUCCUUGAAGCUACUGAGAUAAUGGAACAAUGGAGUAGAUAGUCCAUUAUAACUCAUCUGGGAUUCUUCUCAUCUUCAAGUGACCACAGGUGGAAACAGUCUGGUAACACCACGCUUCCGAAGGUGAUUGUGGAGCUAGAUUGCUUAACCUUGGGUAAGUCAUUUAUCUUCCUGUGUCCCUCAGUUCUCCAUGGGCUGCAGAAGUGUUAAGAGUGCCUGCUUGUCUUCGAGAGGACCGGAGUUCAAUUCCCAGCAUCCAUACCUGGAAGCUACAGGGAAUUCAACACUCUCUUCCUGACUUCCUCAACCAGCCCCACACAUAUGGCUUAUAAACACACAGGGAAAAAAGUAAAGGAAAUCUUAAAAACA
rnacentral:lncRNA from 1 species